UGCUGCUAUUAUACCCAUUGGUAUGAUUCACUAUUGAUUCUUUUUCACCUGCAUAAGGUUAUCGUGCCAUAAAUCUAGCUGAUAUGAAUCCACUAAUCAUUGGUACAGGUUUGGGAGGUUUUGUGGCAUGCAAAGCCCUAUCAUAGAGGAAUACAGACUCUACCAAAGCUUUACGCCCUUGGGACAUUAACCGAGAUGGAUUUGUCAUGGGGGAAGGAGCUGGAGUUUUACUUUUGGAAGACUUGGAGCAUGCAAAG